rnacentral:rRNA from 1 species
UACGGAGGGUGCAAGCGUUAUCCGGAUUCACUGGGUUUAAAGGGUGCGUAGGUGGGCAAGUAAGUCAGUGGUGAAAUCUCCGGGCUUAACCCGGAAACUGCCAUUGAUACUAUUUGUCUUGAAUACUGUGGAGGUCAGCGGAAUAUGUCAUGUAGCGGUGAAAUGCUUAGAUAUGACAUAGAACACCAAUUGCGAAGGCAGCUGGUUACACAAAUAUUGACACUGAGGCGCGAAAUCGUCGGGAGCAAACUGG